UACACUCCUGCGGGAGGCAGCAGUGGGGAAUAUUGCACAAUGGGCGGAAGCCUGAUGCAGCAACGCCGCGUGCGGGAUGACGGCCUUCGGGUUGUAAACCGCUUUCGCCUGUGACGAAGCGUGAGUGACGGUAAUGGGUAAAGAAGCACCGGCUAACUACGUGCCAGCAGCCGCGGUGAUACGUAGGGUGCGAGCGUUGUCCGGAUUUAUUGGGCGUAAAGGGCUCGUAGGUGGUUGAUCGCGUCGGAAGUGUAAUCUUGGGGCUUAACCCUGAGCGUGCUUUCGAUACGGGUUGACUUGAGGAAGGUAGGGGAGAAUGGAAUUCCUGGUGGAGCGGUGGAAUGCGCAGAUAUCAGGAGGAACACCAGUGGCGAAGGCGGUUCUCUGGGCCUUUCCUGACGCUGAGGAGCGAAAGCGUGGGGAGCGAACAGGCUUAGAUACCCUAGUAGUCCCA
rnacentral:rRNA from 1 species